AUUCAUUAUGCUAUGAACUAAUAAAUGCAAGAACAACCAAGGAAAAGCUAUUAGCUUAGCUUGAUAAGCAAUGUACCUCAGAAAAACAACUACUCAUAAAAUUAUACACAAUGUAACCAAUUGAGCCCUUAUAAACAGUCUUUCUUAUAAUAACUUAGACCAAAAUUAACCACAUUGCAUUUGCCAAUAACGAUAGAUUUUCACCUUAAUACAACCAAAGAUCACCGUCAGAGGCCAACCCGGCACUGUCGUGCACCACCAAGCAAGGUACCCGAUGAAUUGUUCGACCCAACCCCCACUGACAAAUCCUUACAGUACACCCUUAUAAACCUCCUCCUCGCUCUCCAAGCCCCAGACCUAAACCUAACCCUAGCCACGAUCCUCACAUUAAACCCAAUUGCACCUUUUUGCGACCUUUCUUUGUUCAUCUGAUCAAAAGCCCGAUUAUUCACGUAAGCGCCCGCAGUAGCAAAACUUGCUUGCCGGGCCGUCUCAGCCCUCUUCUCUUGAAAGAAAGGCGGAACCGUUGUAUCGGAAAGCGACACGUCAUCAUAGAAAACUGCAGCGGCGACGUCAUCAUAGUAAAGGGUCAUCUUCUUAUUUGGGUUUCUCACAGUAAAACGAAGGUCCCAUUUACCAGAAAUCAGCGAAUUAGUCAGAUUAAGAUUCGAUACAGACAGUGAAUCAACUCUGAACUCGGGGAUUCGAGGACGAAAUAUCAGCCAGAGAAUGAAAACAAAGGUACCAGCGAUGACCAUACAAGCUAUAGCCAUACCGAUCACUCGGCGGAGCAAGGUGUUGCGUUGGGCAUCGUAGUGAUUAGGUUGGUAGUACGGGUUGUUUUGAUAGUACACCGCGGAGCCAGGUGGCGGUGCUGCAUAUGGGUAACCGGUGCCUAUCGGUGGUUGCUGCUGAGCAGCACCUCCGUAACCAUUAGGGUUUGGCGGCGGUGCUCCGGCGGCAGGGUAACCGGUAACUGGCCGAUUUGGGUCGUUCAUGGCGGAGAAUUUUUGGUAGC
rnacentral:misc_RNA from 1 species